AGAAUUUUAAUAGAAGUAUACUUCUCAUUUUAGGCAAUUUCAGUUAUCAAGCACCAUUGGGUCACAGUGGACGCAAAGGUCGGCCAUCUUAUGUGGUCACUCGAGAACAACUGUCAUUCCUAAGAUCAUGUGGUUUCACGGCGUCUCAAAUCUCAGGAAUUCUUGGUGUGUCAACCAAAACUGUCAAAAGACGUUUGAGACUGUUUAAUAUGACAAGAAGUUUUUCAGCUAUAUCGGAUGCUGACUUAGAUGAAGUGGUGCAGGACAUUGUAGCUGGAAAUGAUCUGAUAGGUCCCGAAGCAGUCAGAGCAUCCCUUCGUGCAGAUGGAGUCAGAGUCCAAAGACAAAGAGUACGUGCCAGUAUGCUUCGUUUAAACCCAGGAGCAGCUGCCCUUCGGUCUGUGUUGCAUCGACCUCGGUGACGAUCUUACCGUGUUGCAGCACCAAACUCUCUGUGGCACAUUGACGGAAACCACAAACUGAUAAGGUGGAGGAUAGUCAUCCAUGGAGCUAUAGAUGGAUACAGUCGCCUUCUAGUAUUUCUCAGAGCCUCCACCAACAACCGCAGCAGCACAGUUUUGGAGAACUUUGUCCAUGCAGUGGCAAGCUAUGGUGUUCCCUCCAGGGUCAGAACAGACAGAGGAGGUGAAAACAGCUCUGUCUGGAUGAUGAUGAACAUCUUCAGGGGGUUUCAGCGUGGAAGUGCCAUUCAGGGAAGAAGUGUGCACAACCAAAGACUUGAAAGGCUCUGGGGGGGAUCUUUGGCGGGGUAUGACAAAUGUUUAUUAUGAUUUGUUUAACUACCUGGAGAGUGAGGGGGUUGUUGAUUGUGACAAUGAGAUCCACAUGUGGGCUCUGCAUUACAUUUAUUUGCCAAGGAUCAACCGGGACCUGAGAGACUUUGCUGAGCAGUGGAACAACCAUGGCAUAAGAACAGAGAGACACAUGAGCCCCCUCCAGAUCUUUGUCAGGGGCUGCCUUGAGCAACAAAACCGGCCAUCAACUGGCAAGGACGAAAUAUUUAGGGCAGGUAAUGCUUCAGAGGACGUUCCUGGCUUUUUUGCACCUGAAGAUGCUCCUUCGGAAACUCCAGUGAAUUCCUCUCAGGCAGAAGAGCUGGGACUGCUGCUGGAUUGCCCAGAGAGAGUUACAGUACCUGAGGUUCAGUUCACUUUAGGGGAUCAAGUGGCUGAGCAGGUGACAGCCCAGUUUGAUCCACUGAGUGGACCUAGAGGAGAUCAUGGUCUGAAACUAAUCUGUGACCUCAUCUCCUUUUUGACGUCUGACCAUGAUUAAACCUUUGGAAAUGUUGAA